UUGAUGAGAGUGGUGAUCAAGGCGUCAAGUGUACCCCGUCAUGUACACAAACCCCUCCUCCACCACCUCCGCCAUGCCCUCCCCCACCAUCACCACCGGCGCUGUCUCCGCCACCUACACCGAAAAAGCCGCCAACCCAUUGCUGUCCACUUCCCCCUACUCCACCAUCUAUUAUAUACACAACUGGUCCACCAGGGAGCCUGUACCCUAUUGACCAGAACUUUGGUGGUGCGAGCCGGAAUUUCCAGGUGGGGUAUUUGGCUUUGCUUUCUGGAUUCAUGCUCCUUCUGGCUUUUUGAAUGGGGAUUAUAUUAAUAUAGAUUUAGAAUUGGGAGGGUUCCUAGGAUCUUGUUCAAGAAUUUGAUAUGGUAAGAGAAAAUAAUUUGUCGGAAUAGAAAGUUUAAGGAACUAUUAGUUUCUUUACCUGCUCUUUCAUUUGAUAUUGUUCUGUAAUAACAAAUUUACCCACUUUUCAUUUUACCUCCUCAACCAAUCAAUAUAUAAAUUUGUUUGUCA
rnacentral:lncRNA from 1 species